UUAAAUUAUCCCAUGCAACCCCUCCACUUUUUGAAAGGUUCAAUCUCAUUGAAUGGGGACUUAAUUUGUCUAUUUUGUCAUUGAGAUUUCUCAAUAAUAAUAGAGAUUUUUACACUAGAUACUAAAUUUAGCCUUUUUUUUACAUUUUUAUUCCCGUUAGUUUUUUUAAACUUUUUUAUAUUUUAUGUUUUUCAUUUUUAUAUUUAAAAAAGUUCUUUAAUUACAAAAUUACCUUUUUGAUGAUGUCAUUCUUCCUCCUCCUCCAUUUUCUUUCUCUGUUACAUGUUAUUUCUCUCUUUCUCUCACUCUUUUUUUUUUCUUUCAUUUUUUGUUCAUUAUUAUUUCUAUUUUUUCUUCUUCCUUCUAUUCACACAGCAGCAACCUUCUCCACCCUUCCAUCUCCCAUCCAGUCGAUCUCGUCUCCAGCCAUCUCGUCCCCAGCCCGUGAAACCACUACUCAACCUUCUGUCAUGGUCUAGGGAGAAAGAGGCACACUCGAAGCUUAUUUCCUUCUUGUUGAAUGCAAGAAACUUGAUUUUCAGUGAUGAUGUACUUCAAUGUUGAUCAGAAUAGGUUUGUCGUCCAUUUUUAUUCCUUUAGUAGAAUGAAGUGAGCUGCAUACAUUGAAAGUGUACAAGAAAAGAUUCCAAUCUUCCAAGAAAGUUCAAGCUAUUGUGUAUGAAUUAGUGAUUGAGAAGUGUGCUUAGUUUUGGUUGUGUGCUGAAGAGCACUAUUUUUUUAAGAAACUUUGUUUUUGUAUAUUUUUUUAAAACUUUUUUAAUUAAUUUUAUAUGUAUUUUUCACUUGAUAUUGAACAUUAUAAUUUUAUUUAAUUUGUUUAUAUAGUUUAGUACAAAAAAAUUAUUAUUAUAUUUUUAAUUUAUACAUUAAGUAUUUGUAUAAUUAUAUUCUUUUUUUUUUUUGAGAAAAAAGACGAUAAUUGUUAGUAGGUUUUUUUUUAACUGUUGACAAUAUUUUGCUACGAGUUAAAAGUAUAAAAAUAAUUGUAUAUGUAAUUUAAGUAACCUACAAUUUUUAACUACUAUAAUUUAACGUACAAACAACGUGAAAUCAACAUAUAUAAAAAGUAACGAAAUUAAACAACGUGUUUAAAACUUGAAAACAAC